rnacentral:rRNA from 1 species
UACGUAGGUGACCAGCGUUGUCCGGAUUUACUGGGCGUAAAGAGCGCGCAGGCGGUCGUUCAAGUCGAGUGUGAAAGCCCCCGGCUCAACUGGGGAGGGUCACUCGAUACUGAUCGACUUGAAGGCAGGAGAGGGAAGCGGAAUUCCCGGUGUAGUGGUGAAAUGCGUAGAGAUCAGGAAGAACACCGGUGGCGAAAGCGCUCUGCUAGGCCGCAACUGACACUCAUGGACGAAAGCUAGGGGAGCGAAUGGG